UGCCUAACAUUUGCAAGUUGAGCGGAGGUAGAUGGCGCUUGCUCUAUGUACCUUAGCAGCGAACGGGUGAGUAACACGUAGAUAAUCUGUCCUAUAUUGGGGGAUAGCCCGAUGAAAGUUGGAUUAAUACCGCAUACAGCUAUAUAGUUGCAUGAUUAUAUAGUGAAAGAUUUAUUGAUAUAGGAGGAGUCUGCGGCACAUUAGCUAGUAGGUGAGGUAAGAGCUUACCUAGGCGGCGAUGUGUAGCCGGUCUGAGAGGAUGAACGGCCACAAUGGAACUGAGACACGGUCCAUACUCCUACGGGAGGCAGCAGUGGGGAAUAUUGCACAAUGGGGGAAACCCUGAUGCAGCAACGCCGCGUGAGUGAAGAAGGUUUUCGGAUUGUAAAGCUCUGUUAGCAGGGAAGAGGAAGGACGGUACCUGCAGAGGAAGCCACGGCUAACUACGUGCCAGCAGCCGCGGUAAUACGUAGGUGGCAAGCGUUGUUCGGAAUAACUGGGCGUAAAGGAUGCGUAGGCGGUUAAAUAAGUUAUAUGUUAAAUAUAUAGGCUUAACCUGUAGAAAGCAUAUAAAACUGUUUAACUAGAGUGCAGGAGAGGUAAGUGGAAUUCCUAGUGUAGCGGUGAAAUGCGUAGAGAUUAGGAAGAACACMCAGUGGCGAAGGCGACUUACUG
rnacentral:rRNA from 1 species